rnacentral:lncRNA from 1 species
GUCCUGAAAGGUGCCCCCAGGGCCACUUCUGCCCGCCUGGCACCCACUCACCUACGGAGCAUCCAUGCCCCCAGGGGACAUUUGGACCCAGGCCAGGUUCCACCAGUGAACUGGGAUGCGAGCCAUGCCCAGCAGGGAUGUAUUGCUUGUCAGAAGGACUAUCUCAGCCAUCUGGCCUUUGCCACUCGGGCUACUAUUGCACAGGAGGAGCUGUGUCCCCUACCCCCUUCCAGCACAAGGUGGAAACUAGAGGAUAUUCAGGGAAUGAUAUCUGUCCUGCUGGCUUCUUCUGCCCCAAUGGGACUAGCUCUCCUGUACCCUGCCCUCCAGGAUCUUAUUCCUCGAUCCCAGGCCUAGAAACUGAAGAACAAUGCCAGCUCUGUCCCAGAGGGAAGUACUGUAGCAUGGCUGGACUGGCCAGUCCUUCUCAGGCCACUCCCUGCAGCCCUGGGUAAAGAGUCCAUCAAGCCUCCUUCCUGAUGGUUCUUAUCUUCUCCCUUUGAAGAGAAAUGGCCAUAUGCUAGACCCAAGGUCCCUAGGGCAGCCCAGGCCAAGAGCCUUUAAAUUCUUUAAAUCAGAGAAGUCUGAUUCUUCUCCCAGAAGAGUUCUAGAAACCUGAGACUCAGAGAGAACUUGGGCCUCAGUGUCCUGAUCUAUAAAGGAAAGGCUUGGCAGUGUGGUCUAGUGGAAGGAGCACUGGAUUUAGAACAAGUUCUGGAUCAGAAUACCAACUCUUCCACUUUGCUCCCUGUGUGGGUUCAAGCAAGUCCUUAGUUUCUUCAUCUGUAAAAUGAGGGGGGUGGAUUAGAUGAUCAGGAAGGCCCCAUCCAACUCAAAAUUCCCAAGAUCCUACGGUUUAAUGACCUUAAAGGUGACCUCCAGCUCUAAAAUUCAACAAGAUCUAUGGGGAGGACACGUUUUUUGGAUGAAACAACAGUAAGAGGCCAUAGAAGCUACUUAGUGACCUGACAACAGCAGAUUGGCCCAAGCCUGUUUGGAAGUUGUCCUCCAUCACUUAGGGGUAUCUCUAAACCCUCUAUAAUGCCUGUCCCCAACCCAGAAUACCUUAGUUUAAUCCACACAUAGAGGCAAUGACAGUUACCAAUGAAAGCCAUGAGUCCUCUGUCUUGCCUGGCAGGUAGAGAAGAGAAAUGGAAACCAAUGGUUGUCAGUCCAAUGCAGCCUGGAGACUCCCUCCUGGGAGAGUCCCCUGCAUUAUGGGGGCAUUACCUCCUUGGACAGUGACCCUGAGCCUGGUCAGAGAUGCCAGUUUGGAGAGGAGGGAAGUUAGUUCCAUUGGAAUAGACAAGAUAAGGACACUCUGGCCUUGUGGGAAGGCUGCCUUCCUGAGCCCCCUUGCCCCACUUAUUUUGCUUCUUGUAUCAGGGGCUGGAGGCAUUUUUCAAUAUUACUAACUGAGGGCUCAGAAGAAAUUUUGACUUAUUUUCGAAACCA